rnacentral:lncRNA from 1 species
GUGACAAUGGGAGCAGCCCUUAACUACCUCCAUAUGUAGCUUCAUAUUGAAGUAACGUAUAUUAUUAGGAGCACACCCUCACACAUACAUCUACACACACACACACACACAGACACAUACAGUUGUGUGCAAACUCUUAUCUAAGCUGCUGCUGCUUCUCGUCUUCCUCCUCCCCCCUCUCCUCUUCUGCUUUUUUUUGUGUUGAUAUAACAUGGUGUAUAUUUGCUCAUUUCCUGAAACGGCCUUUUUGUUCAUCUCAACUUCCACAAACACACACACAUAAAAGAGAAUAAAGAAAAUAAAAAAAUGAAGAUAUCUUCUCCCUUUCAGACAGUCGCACAGAAAUACCAUUAAACAUCUGCACCUCCAUUUAAUGCAAAUAUUCUCUUUGUAACAAAACAAAAAAUAAAAUAAAAUAACAAAACAAAACACCCCAACUAUCUUCUGCCCCAACCUGAUUCCUCUGCCUAGAUUCACCCCUACCAAAUUUAAACAUCUGUCUGUCUGUGCGCAGUUUUACUUAUUCUGUUCUAAGCUUAACAUUGAUCCGUCCAUCUUGUUUUAUAAUCAGUCCUUCACUUCCUUAGAUUAUUUAACCGUUUAGCAUUCAGAUUACCCUCUCAAAUGUAAUGCUUAUUUUAUUCCUAUUGCCCUGAAUUAAUCCUGCAUUAUCUCAUAGCUUUGAGAUUUCAAUGAUGUGAUUGUUUAUUUUUACAAUGACAUGGCAUUAGGAAGGGCAUCCAGCUGUAGAAACUCUGCCAGAUCAAGAUUGGAGCCUGGUGCAGCCAUCUGGUUUGCCAGUCCUCAGUCAAAUCGUCCAACCCAUGCUAGCAUGGAAAGCAGACAUUAAACGAUGAUGAUGAUGAUGAUGAUUGUAGGGUAGGUGCAAGAGGCCAGAUCUCACUAGUUUGAACAUAAAACAUGUUGGGUAUUUGGGCUGGAUAUGGUCAGUUUAAAUGCUAAACGGUUAACCCUUUAGCAUUCAUAUUACUCUCUGAAAUGUUCUGCUCAUUUAUUCACAUUGUUUUUAAUUAAUUAUGCAUUUUACUUCAUAGCUUCAAUGUUUCAACAAUGUGAUUGUUUAUAUUCAUAAAAAACAUUGUAGGAUAGGUAUGAAAGGCUGGAUCUGGCCAGUUUGAACAUAAAACAGGUAGAACAUUUUGGCUGGAUAUGGCCUAUUCAAUUGCUAAAGGGUGAAACCAUUGCAGCCUGCACCAGGUUCUCAGUGGUGCACUGGUCCAUGUAUAUUUGUUGUUGAUCCUUCUGUUUUUGUCCCCUAAGAUCCCAUCAUUAUGGUAUGUUUAAGUCAUCAGUAAGCAAAUUUAACAAUUGUGUAGCUGACUACUGAACUAUACCCUCGUUACAUAACUUGCUAGAGCUGGUUCCUUUUGAAGACACUAGGAUGUAUUCCAGUUCUAUAUUUAAGAGAUGAGGAAUUAUGUACAUUAUUUACAUUCGACAGAUAUUUGUCCUCAUCUUGUUUGUUGUUUACACAAUGUUUUGGCUGAUAUAAGAAGGCUGGAGGGUAUAUCAGCCGAAACAUUGUGUUAACAACAAACAAGAUGAGGACAAAUAUCCGUCAAAUGUAAAUAAUGUAGGAUGCAUUCUUUUUUACUCUAGGCGCAAGACCUGAAAUUUUGGAGGAGAGUGAGGGGCAGUCGAUUAGAGUGACCCCAGUACGCAAUUGGUACAUAAUUUAUCGAUCCCAAAAGGAUGAAAGGCAAAGUCAACCUCGGCAGAAUUUGAACUCAGAACGUAAAGACAUGAAAUAUCACUAAGCAUUUCACCCAGCUGCUAAUGUGCAUUCAGUUAAUUGUUUGGUUAUCCAGCUUUUUGUGUUUUGAGGUUAGAUUGUGGUGUGACACAGAGCUAGGUUCUGAGAUCCAUCUCACAUAUUGCAGUACAAGGCAUGCAAACGUGUCACUCGCUGUAAAUAUGAUAGUAUAAGCAUUAUACAUGGCAUAAAGCACAAUAUAUAAUAUAUAUGCCUGCAUGGAAGGUGGAUGUUAAACGAUGAUGAAGAUUAAUAGUUAUCGCUAAGCUAACAUGGCAGUCCAGAAAAAUAGGACAAAUGCCGCUGUUGAUUAGCUCCAAGAGGCCGUUGCCUCUAGCUAGUUAUGUGACACACAAAACUGAUGACGAUGAUAUAUAUACACAAUAAAAUACAGAAAACAUAUAUAGUAUUUUGUGUUUUCUAAAAUGUAUGUGUUUUGGCAAAUUACUGCUUCUUAGUAUACAAGUUCAAACCUUGCCGUUAUCUUUCUGGGAUUAGCUGAGCCAUUGUUAGUUACCCAUUGCUAGUUGGCAAUCUGUCAGUUAUAAUAAUGAGUACUCCAGCUGAUCUGAUCAAUGGAACAGCCUGCUCAUGAAAUUAAUCUGCAAGUGGCCGAGUACUCCACAGACACACAUACCCUUAAUGUAGUUCUUUGGGAGAUUCAGCAUGACACAAAAUGUGAAAAGGCUGGCCCUUUGAAUUACAGGUGCAACUGGUUUUUUGCCACCUGAGUGGACUGGAGCAAUGUGAGAUAAAAUAUCUUGCUCAAGAACAUAACAUGCUACUAGGAAUUGAACUCAUAUCAUCACAGUUGUCAGCUAAUAUUUUGUCUGUCUUUACGUUCUGAAUUCAAUUUCCACCGAGGUCGACUUUGCCUUUCAUCCUUUCGGGGUCGACAAAUUAAGUACCAAUGAAAUCGCCCAGUCCCUUCCCCCAAAACUUCAGGCCUUGUGCCUAUAAUAGAAAAGAUUAUUAACUGUAUACUCCAGCCUCAAAUAUGUCCUUGUGUCUAAUUAAAAUAGAUAAUUAGUAUGAAGCUAUUUUGGUCUGAUUGCUUCUACAUUGUGUUUUGUUUUAGUUAAAACGUUUAUUUUUAUUAGGUUUUGGUUCUCUAAAGCAGUGCUCCUCAAACUACCUAAUGUGGUGUACUAGCAUUUUUUUUUCUUAGGUGCCUGGGACCCGGUAAUAUUUCUUAGUAAUAUUAAUUUAUACCAGAAAGACAAUAUAUAUAAUGAAUAUAAAGCGGCGAGCUGGCAGAAUCGUUAGCACGCCGGGCGAAAUGCUUUCGUCUGCCGCUACGUUCUGAGUCCAAAUUCCGCCGAGGUCGACUUUGCCUUUCAUCCUUUCGGGGUCGAUAAAUUAAGUACCAGUUAUGCACUGGGGUCUAUAUAAUCGACUUAAUCCGUUUGUCUGUCCUUGUUUCUCCUCUCUGUGUUUAGCCCCUUGUGUCUGCUGCUAUAUUCUGAGUUCAAAUUCUGCUGAGGUUGACUUUGCCUUUCAUCCUUUCGGGGUUGAUAAAUUAAGUACCAGUGAAAAGCCUGGGGUUGAUGUCAUCCACUACUCUACCCCCGCCACCGAAAUUCAAGGUUUUGUGCCUCCAGUAGAAAGGAUUAUUAUUAUUAAGGCAGCAAGCUGGCAGUGUUAUUAACAUACUGGACAAAAUGCUUAGUUUUUUCCAUUCAGAGUUCAAAUCCCACAGAGGUCAGUUUCACCUUUUAUCCUUUUAUGAUUGAUAAAAAUAAAGUCCCAGUUGAACACUGGGGUCAAUGUAAAUGACUGGCUCCCUCCUGAAAUUUCAGGCUUUGUGCCUGUAGUAGAAACAAAUAUUAUGAAGAAGGUGAACUGGGAGAAUCCUUGGCACCUUGGGCAAAAUGCUUUGCCGUAUUUCUUCUGGCUCUUUAUGUCCAGAGUUCAAAUACUGCUGAAGUAAACUUUGUCAUUCAUCCUUCCAGGGUCAGUAAAAUGAAGUACCAGUUACGUACUGGGGUCAAUGUAAUCAGCUAUUUCUUUCUCUCAAAAUUACUGGCUUUGUGCCAAAAUUAGAAACAAAUUAUUAUUAAGGCGAGGGCAGCAAGGUGGCAGAAUUGUUAGCAUGCCAGGCAAAAUGCUUAGCGGUAUUUUGCCCUUUGGUACAUUCUGAGUUCAAAUUCUGCCGGGGUUGACUUUGCCUUUCAUCCUUUUGGGGUCGAUUAAAUAAGUACCAGUUAUGCACUGGGGUCGAUAUAAUCGACUUAAUCCGUUUGUCUGUCCUUGUUUGUCUCCUCUGUGUUUAGCCCCUUGUGGGCAGUAAAGAAAUAGGUAUUUCCUCUGUCAUAUUCUGAGUUCAAAUUCUGCUGAGGUCCACUUUGCCUUUCAUCCUUUCAGGGUUGACGAAAUAAGUACCAGUUACGCACAGGGGUCAAUGUAAUCAACUAGCCCCCUUCCCCACCAAAUUUUCCAAGGCCUUGUGCAUAGAAUAGAAAUAAUUAUUAUUAAGGCAGACUUGUUAACACGCCAGAGAAAAUGAUUAGCAGCAUUUCAUCCAUCUUAUGCUUUGAGUUCAAAUUCUGCUGAGGUCAACUUUGCCUUGUCAUCCUUUCAGGGUCGAUGAAAUAAGUACCAGUUAAACACUGGGGGUCGAUGUAAUCGACUCAUCCCCACCUUUCCCAAACAGCCCUUGUGGCAAAAAUUUGAAAUACUCUAUUUGUUUCAGUCAUUUGACUGUGGCCAUGUUGGAACACCACCUUUAUUUAGUUGAGCAAAUCAACCCCAGGACUUAUUCUUUGUAAGCCUAGUACUUAUUCUAUUGGUCUCUUUUGCCGAACCGCUAAGUUACGGGGAGGUAAACACACCAGCAUCGGUUGUCAAGCGAUGUUGAGGGGGACAAACACAGACACACAAACACACGACAGGCUUCUUUCAGUUUCCGUCUACGAAAUCCACUCAAGGCUUUGGUCGUCCCCAGGCUAUAGUAGAAGACACUUGCCCAAGGUGCCAUGCAGUGGGACUGAACCUGGAACCAUUUGGUUCGUAAGCAAGCUACUUACCACACAGCCACUCCUACGCCUAUAAUUAUUAUUUCAAACUUAAUGUAAAACCAUUUUAUUUUUCUAAUUCACUUUUCUUAGCCAAAUUUAUAAGUGAAACAAAAAAAAUGAAAACUGAUAAAUUACAAAUUUUCUUGGAUUGACUGAAAAGAAAAAAAAUACACACACACACACAUAUAUAUAUAUAUCUAAACAUCCAUUACACACAAACACACACAUAAAUAUCCAUUACACACACACACACACACAUGCACUCAAGCAUUUUUCUCUGAACAGAAAGGACAAACCUGUUGUAUGAAACGAACCCCUUUUAAUAAAACUGUUUUUGAUCUCUUUGAUGCAUCUUCUCCCAUCUCACCUAACACUUAACCGUGUCUCGUCCUUCUUGAUGUCCCUAUACUUGACCAGGUCAAGCAUUCUAUUUAAUUUACGAUUUGAUUUAUAAUUAAUUUGCUUAUUUUUUAUUUAUUUAGUUUUGUUUUUUUGUUUUUGUUUAUAUAUAUGUAUAUGGUUUUUUUUUUUAAAUUACAAAGAAGAAAAAAAUUAUAAUGGUCUUUUCUCCCCCUCACCCUCUCUCCAAUUUUUCUCUCUUUCUCAAAUACAUACACACACACACACACAUGCAUAUGUACAUACAUAGGCAUAAACACAAUUUUAUGAAUUAAUUUACUGAAAUGAAAAAUAAAAAAAAAAAAGGUCCCCAAAAACUAAAUAUGUAUUAAAACAAAAAAAAAAAAAAAAAGAGGGGGGAACAAAAACCUUGUGAUUUACUUUUUGGACCUUGUCUUUAUGCUGGACCCAACAUCUUAAAUAUUUGUUGGGGCCAGCAGCUCUUGUUUAUCUGUACAUGUAUGAUGGCCUAUUUUUUUAUAUAUACAUAUAUAUAUAUAUAUAUAUAAGGGUAUUAGUUUGGAUCAGUUUUGUUUUAUCAUGCUAGCCUAGGUUUCAGAAUUUAAAGAAAAGAAAAAAGCAGAAAAAAAAAUAGCCAGACAAUGAUUGUAUUAUUGGCAGAAUGAUAAAUAAAAUUAAAUAAAAAGAAAAA